GAUGAAGAACGUAGCGAAAUGCGAUAAGUAAUGUGAAUUGCAGAAUUCAGUGAAUCAUCGAAUCUUUGAACGCACAUUGCGCCCUCUGGUAUUCCGCAGGGCAUGCCUGUUCGAGCGUCAUUUCAACCCUCAAGCCUCGCUUGGUGUUGGGCCCUGCCCGCCGCGGCCGGCCCUAAAGAUAGUGGCGGCGCCGCCUGGCCCUCAGCGUAGUACAGCUCUCGCUCCAGGGUCCGGCGGCAGCCUGCCAGAACCCCCCAACUCUGUGGUUGACCUCGGAUCAGGUAGGGAUACCCGCUGAACUUAAGCAUAUCAAUAAGCGGAGGA
rnacentral:misc_RNA from 1 species